UACGAAGGGGGCUAGCGUUGCUCGGAAUCACUGGGCGUAAAGGGUGCGUAGGCGGGUCUUUAAGUCAGGGGUGAAAUCCUGGAGCUCAACUCCAGAACUGCCUUUGAUACUGAGGAUCUUGAGUUCGGGAGAGGUGAGUGGAACUGCGAGUGUAGAGGUGAAAUUCGUAGAUAUUCGGCGGAACACCAGUGGCGAAGGCGACUCACUGGCCCCGAUACUGACGCUGAGGGCGCGAAAAGCGUGGGGGGAGCAAAACAGGGAUUUAAGAAAACCCCUAGUA
rnacentral:rRNA from 1 species